AUUGAACGCUGGCGGCAGGCCUAACACAUGCAAGUCGAGCGGCAGCGGGAAAGUAGCUUGCUACUUUUGCCGGCGAGCGGCGGACGGGUGAGUAAUGCCUGGGAAAUUGCCCGGUCGAGGGGGAUAACAGUUGGAAACGACUGCUAAUACCGCAUACGCCCUACGGGGGAAAGCAGGGGACCUUCGGGCCUUGCGCGAUUGGAUAUGCCCAGGUGGGAUUAGCUAGUUGGUGAGGUAAUGGCUCACCAAGGCGACGAUCCCUAGCUGGUCUGGGAGGAUGGUCAGGCACGCUGGAAAUGAAACACGGUCCAAACUCCUACGGGAGGAAGCAGUGGGGAAUAGUGCACAAUGGGGGAAACCAUGUUUCAGCCAUGCCGCGUGUGUGAAGAAGGCCUUCGGGUUGUAAAGCACUUUCAGCGAGGAGGAAAGGUCAGUAGCUAAUAGCUGCUGGCUGUGACGUUACUCGCAGAAGAAGCACCGGCUAACUCCGUGCCAGCCGCCGCAGUAA
rnacentral:rRNA from 1 species